rnacentral:rRNA from 1 species
UAGAGAGAGACAUGCGCGCAUAUCAAUAAGCGGAGGAAAAGAAACUAACAAGGAUUCCCUUAGUAACGGCGAGUGAAGCGGGAAGAGCUCAAAUUUGAAAUCUUCAAGGUUCUACCUUGACGAAUUGUAGUUUAUAGAAGUGUUUUCUGUUAGUGGAGUGGCAAAAGUUCUUUGGAAUAGGACAUCAUAGAGGGUGAGAAUCCCGUAUUUGGUCAUUCCUCCUAGCGUUGUGAUACACUUUCAACGAGUCGGAUUGUUUGGGAAUGCAGUCCAAAAUGGGUGGUAAAUUUCAUCUAAAGCUAAAUAUUGGCGAGAGACCGAUAGCGAACAAGUACCGUGAGGGAAAGAUGAAAAGAACUUUGAAAAGAGAGUUAAACAGUACGUGAAAUUGUCAAAAGGGAAGCGUUUGACACCAGUGUUGUUUUUCCGAAAAUCAAUUACGAAUGUUUUAUUUUUGAGGAGUUAUGACUUCAUCGGCUUGCUCCUUUCUUUAUGAAACUUUCUUAAUGCACUUUUCGGUUAACAAGUCAACAUCAAUUUCUUUUGUUGUAAAAGAGUAUGAGGAAGGUGGCUUUCUUUUCGGAGAAAGUGUUUAUAGCCUUGUGCCUCUGCAAUCGGAGAGAUUGAGGUCUGCAGCGUAGAUCCUUCGGGGUUAGAUACACUUUGUGCUAAGUUAUAGCUUUUCAUAGACAACUUGUUGACUAUGAUUUAGUCUUGUAGCUUACUCGCUUGACGCUAUUUUACCUACGCUUAGGAUGUUGACAGCAGUAUAGACUGU